AACGAACGCUGGCGGCAGGCCUAACACAUGCAAGUCGAACGAGAAGCCACCUUCGGGUGGUGGACAGUGGCAGACGGGUGAGUAACGCGUGGGAACGUGCCUUUCGGUUCGGGAUAACCCAGGGAAACUUGGGCUAAUACCGGAUACGCCCUUCGGGGGAAAGAUUCAUUGCCGAAAGAUCGGCCCGCGUCGGAUUAGCUAGUUGGUGGGGUAAAAGCCUACCAAGGCGACGAUCCGUAGCUGGUCUGAGAGGAUGACCAGCCACACUGGGACUGAGACACGGCCCAGACUCCUACGGGAGGCAGCAGUGGGGAAUAUUGGACAAUGGGCGCAAGCCUGAUCCAGCCAUGCCGCGUGGGUGAAGAAGGCCUUAGGGUUGUAAACCCCUUUCAGCGGGGAAGAUAAUGACGGUACCCGCAGAAGAAGUCCCGGCUAACUCCGUGCCAGCAGCCGCCGCCG
rnacentral:rRNA from 1 species